rnacentral:rRNA from 1 species
GACUGAGACACGGCCCAGACUCCUACGGGAGGCAGCAGCUAAGAAUCUUCCGCAAUGGGCGAAAGCCUGACGGAGCGACGCCGCGUGAACGAAGAAGGCCUAACGGUUGUAAAGUUCUUUUCUUGGGGAAGAAUAAGCCUUGCAGGGAAUGGCAGGGUGAUGACGUUAACCGAGGAAAAAGCCCCGGCUAAUUACGUGCCAGCAGCCGCGGUAACACGUAAGGGGCGAGCGUUGUUCGGAAUUAUUGGGCGUAAAGGGCGCGUAGGCGGCAUAGCAAGUCAGGUGUGAAAGAUCUCAGCUCAACUGAGGAAACGCGCUUGAAACUGCUGUGCUGGAGUCUAGGAGGGGAAGCUGGAAUUCCUAGUGUAGGGGUGAAAUCUGUAGAUAUUAGGAAGAACACCGGUGGCGAAGGCGAGCUUCUGGCCAUAGACUGACGCUGAGGCGCGAAAGCGUGGGGAGCGAACAGGAUUAGAUACCCUGGUAGUCCACGCCGUAAACGAUGUGCACUGGGUGUCGGCCCGUUGGGGUCGGUGCCGAAGCUAACGCGAUAAGUGCACCGCCUGGGGAGUAUGCUCGCAAGGGUGAAACUCAAAAGAAUUGACGGGGGCCCGCACAAGCGGUGGAGCAUGUGGUUUAAUUCGAUGAUACGCGAGAAACCUUACCAGGGCUUGACAUAUGUAGGACAGCGUUGGAGACAACGCCUCUCUUCGGAGCCUAUAUACAGGUGCUGCAUGGCUGUCGUCAGCUCGUGCUGUGAAGUGUUGGGUUAAGUCCCGCAACGAGCGCAACCCCUGCCAUCUGUUGCCAGCAUUUAGGAUGGGGACUCAGAUGGAACUGCCGGUGACAAACCGGGGGAAGGUGGGGACGACGUCAAGUCAUCAUGGCCCUUAUGUCCUGGGCUACACACGUGCUACAAUGAACGGUACAGAGCGCAGCAAGACCGCGAGGUCAAGCAAAUCGCAAAAAGCCGUUCUCAGUACAGAUUGGAGUCUGAAACCCGACUCCAUGAAGGUGGAAUCGCUAGUAAUCGCGCAUCAGCAUGGCGCGGUGAUACGUUCCCGGGCCUUGUACACACCGCCCGUCACACCACCCGAGUUGGGGGUACCCGAAGUCGCUAGUCUAACCGGUAACGGAGGACGGUGCCGAAGUAUGCCUGUAAGGGG